AGCGUUAUAUAAACAUUUUGUAAAAACGCACUAAAUGUUAGCAUUAUACUAUAGGCGUGUCAAUGAAAACUGACUCUUAUUUCACUUGAAACGGUCUUUAUUUUUGGUAUUUGAUAAGUACAAUAUUAAAUUCUUGUAAGUUCAAUACUGAAUUUAUUGCACUCGUUGAAUAAAAUAAUAUUAUUCUUGCCAGAGGCUCACAUAAUAUAAUUUUAUUCAACUCGUGCAAUAAAUACAGUAUUGAAUUCACACUCAUUCAAUAUCCUCUAUAUAUGUUCGUCAAAUUAGUUUAUUUAAGUCAUUGCUUAAAUUUUUUUCUUUAGAACAUUUAAAUUUUUUUUAUUAAAAUGUCUCCAUAUCUAUAAGAAAACUCUAUUUUCACAAAUCAGGUUUCAGGUAGAGAUAUGUCCAUUAUAUUUGAUUAAUACACUUGUUACUAUAUAGAGUAACAAAAUUGGGCAGAUCUUGCAAGUGAAAAAUGUGUUGGUUUAAGGUUUAAUAAUUAUUUUCAUAAUGUAUUUGUUUAACAGUGACAUAAUCAGUCAUUCUUUAUUAAUUGUCAUUUAGAGAGUUGUUUCCCCUGGACCAUUGUUUUUCUGUGGGUCAGUGUGUUUUUGAGAAUCAUGUUAUUAAUGAUUUGUCAUUUAUGGAAUAUUAUUGUUAGCAAAAAUGUGUUUUUAAUUCAAAUUGCUUCAAGAGCCUUAAGCUUUGUUUAACUUAAUUUUGUCUUUAAUUGAAUUAUGAUAUAGCAGUAUCAUAUUGUUAUUUUCUUAUUUAAAUAUAAACAAAUAAUCUCACAUUCUAUUCAAACUCUUUGUACAUUAUUCAUUUGUAAUUUCCAGAAAUAACAGCACACUGGAUACAGUGAAAAGUGUAUAACUGUUGACUAUUUGUUGUGUAUGAUGUAGAAGCACUUUAAUGGUUCCAUGAAUUGGUUUUGGUGAGUACUGAAGCUACAUUACAAGAUUGCUUGUCUAUUGUUUGUCCUUGGAAUUCAUCUGAGAAACAUCCUGUGCCAACAUAAAUCCUUGAUUUUUAUUCACCCUUUUCAUACUAUUUAUUUUCAAAGGACUUGCAUUUUGUUAACUAAUUAAACAUUUUUGGUUUAAUUCAUUUUUGCUAUUCUAUUUACUUAUCUAUGUAUUGAUAGACUGACACAAGCCAUAUAAAUUAAAAAUGUGUUCUAGAAUAUAUUAUAUUACUUAUUCCUAAACCAUUCAGUUUUAUUUUGUAUCACUACUGGUUGGAGAGUUAACUCCGACACUAAAUCACUAUUUUCUUCAAAUAACAUUUUUGUAUAUAUUAUAAAUUUUUUACCCACCUAAAAAAAAAUUGGUUUAAACAUUUAUAAUUAUAUGCCAAUUCCUUUUUUGAAAUGUAAACCGGUACUUACUUAAGGUCCUGAAUAAGGUAACCGAAACGUGGCCUUUUUAACCCUGGACAUUAGAUAAAGUCGACACUUUAAUUUUAACAUAAAAGCUAACUUGAUUUUUAGAAACAAUCAUUUAUUUUUACAUUAUAUAUGCUUUAUCUAAGCCUUAUUAACAAUUUAACAAUUUUUAAAGAAAUUUUCCCAAGUCAGAACCAUGUGUUAAAGACAAUUCUAACUCCUGUCUGGAAGUUAAGUAAAAAGAACGUUUGUGUCUGUUUUUGUGACAAAAAGUUGUGGUCUACACAAACACAUUCAAUUUAAAAAAUUUCAUCACAGUCUGUCUUUCUACUUUAUUACUAGGUGACCAUGUGUAUACAUGUUUUUUGACGAAAAAGGAUAAAUAAAAAUAUUUAACCAAGUGUCAGGGUUAUCUAGAUGUGUGGGAGUUAUCUCUCCAACCAGUGUCCAUUAAUUGAAUAAAUCAUUUAAUCUUAUUAACUUAUGAUAGAAUCUAAUUAAAGUUGUUAACGAUCAUGCAUUAUUCAUAAUUAUAAUAAAUAUGAAAAUUGA